GUGCCAGCAGCCGCGGUAAUACGGGGGGGGCAAGCGUUGUCCGGAAUCAUUGGGCGUAAAGGGUGCGUAGGCGGAAUGGUAAGUCAGGAGUGAAAGACUCGCGCUUAACGCGGGUUCUGCUUUUGAUACUGUCAUUCUUGAGUGCGGAAGAGGGAAGCGGAAUUCCCGGUGUAGCGGUGAAAUGCGUAGAUAUCGGGAAGAACACCGGUAGCGAAAGCGGCUUCCUAGUCCGUAACUGACGCUGAGGCACGAAAGCGUGGGUAGCAAACAGGAUUAGAUACCCCCGUAGUCC
rnacentral:rRNA from 1 species